CACGCAUGUAACCAAUUUAAGCCCAGGCAGUGCUCUAAGCAACAAACAGAGAACAUAUGAUGAGGAACAAUUUAUUCAGUCAUAUUUACAGGCAGAAACAAUCAUGGAAGCUUCAGGAGAGUGAAACAGUUCAUAUGUGAGCAAACAUUUUACAGCAGAUUUCCCCGAAGCAUUUGGUUCGACAAUAGGCACUCGGUUCAACCAACAAACGACCAGCGAGAGGCGUCCCCCUCGCAGAAUGAAGACGGGACGCUGCCAGGUCGGGUUUGCCAGUGAAAAACACUCUUAAAGGAUCACAAAAAGAAAAGUUCAAGCUUUUUGUCCAACUUUGCCACUCUGGAAAGGCAACAGAAGAGGAGUAAAGAUGACUGAGGCACAUAAUGACACCGGGUACAGAGUAAGUGGAGGCGAUCAAAGGAAACUUCACAGAGCUAAAGGACCCCCGCACCAGCAAACGUUAGCACAUGUUGACAUGUCAGAACAGCAUAUGAGAGCGCUUCAAAGGGCCUUAUGAUGCAGCAGCUAUGAGGUAAAAAAAUAAAAUAAAGCAUCUGAUACAUUGGAAAAGCCUUGUUAUCUACAUCUGACGCACACGACAUUCACAUGAACCGGCACGAAUAUAAAUGUGAGUUUGUUCCAGUGGUCUCGUACUGACCCAGAUCUCAGUUAAAGGAGCUUCAAGAUUCGCUCGUGUUUUUAAACUGUCACGAUUUUCAGGUAAUUUUGCCCUCAUUAACUUCAAGCCUGUAAUCUCUGACUCGAACAACGAGGAACAAGGAGGCUCAUUAUAAUCCAGCACGAGCUCCCUAACAGCAGAUUAAAGAAUGAACGAAUCGAGCAGCGGUUUCAGGUUUUAAAUCAAAUCUGGUAACAGAGUAGUGACUUCAUUUAGUGUGGCCAUAAAACCCCUCUGGGAUAGAGGAGGGGUGAGUUCCCAGUGGCAUUAUGGGACGGAGCAUUUAUUUUGUUUUGAUCGGACAACGACGGCACAAAUCGUCAGCGGGAUGAUGACACGAAGCUUGUGUAGACUUGCUGGACGUUGACGCUCCACUUCAGGUGAGCCCUGCACAAACAGAAAAGAGCACAAAGAACUAUCAUGUCUGCACAAUAAAAACAUGUAAGUGUUAUUUUAGACAGUGCAGCUGUCUAUGAGGGACAGAAAAGGCCCACACUGUGUGCUGGAAGCAUUUCCUAGAGAUGUGGGUCUAUACUGACACAAUAACAUCAGACAGCUGCAGUAGAUUUGUUGGUUGAACAUCCAUGAUGUCCAUCUCCCG
ensembl:lncRNA